GGUCCUGUCACUCAUUUUUUUGUCUUUGUAGUCCGGGAGGCCCAAAGUAGCCCCUUCUCCCUGCUUUCAGAAUUUGCCUUUCUCUGGUUACCUGGGAGGGGCUGCAUCUUCUCGGAGGGCUAUUGAAAAUUUUUACUUUUUUGUUGGGGAAUUGUUUCAUCCUUUUCUGGGCUACUGGACACUCUUCCAUCGCUCCACUUCUAGUUCCUCAGCCCCUAGUCCCCAGGAUUUUCCUUGCAGUUGAUGCCCUGUUCCAGUAUAGCUAAGGGGCAGAGUGUCAGAAAGGUGACAAGGAGUGGGAGUGGGGUCUGUACUUCUGGAAUACUCCUGUUUUGCUUUUAAAACUAUCAUCAUACUUUAUUUUUAUAGUAAAAAAAAUUCAGUAAAACAAGAAUUCAAUGUGGGAAGUAGCAACAAAAAAAGGGUGGGCAUGUUUUGUAAAGAAAAAAGGUUUCCUGCGUCCAUUGGAAAGCACCAUUAAUUUUGGUUAAUUUUUACCGAAUAGAACAUGAAUUCUUUUGGCCACAUAGGAAAUAGUUUUUAAAAUAGGCUAAGGUAUUUGAACAUCUAAAAUGAAAUAUUUCUCAAUAAGAUAAGCGUAUUUCCAUAUGAUCUGUAAAUUGAUCCACAGAGAGCUGUUCAGUUGUCCAAUCUUAUUUAUUUUGGACAAAUAAUGUGCUACUUUUUUCUCCUUCUGGGAUAGCUUUUAAGUUGCAUAAAUAAAUGAUCCUGUCUUGUUCUGUUACAGAAACACAUUUAUUUAAUAUUCCCAAACCAUUGCUGACUGCUGUGUGUGAACCUCCUGUAAUUUGAUGGCUGUAACCAUGACAGUUUUGAACACCUGUCUUCGGAUUAGGUUCCUGUUAAUGAUUCAACUCUGGGAAAAAGGAAAAGCUGUGAGGCCAAGGAAACUGAGUGUGGUGGGUGCAGGGUGGUCAAAUUCUCCCUGCCCUGUCAGGAGGAGGAGGGAGGUGCUGUCUCUCUACUCCCUCCCAUAUACCAGAGCCGCUCAUCUCCUGCGUUCAGGCACCUGGCUCAGUUGCUCACUCCCAAAAUAUAUCUGGACAAGUGACCAAGACGCAGACCUGGUUAAAUGUCUUUGGCUCCUUCCGUCCCUUCCCGAAGUUCCCAGAGGUAACCCAUUGAUGCAUAGAAAGGAAUGCUGUUUUUACCUGACCCUGCAGCUGACGAUUUGUGAAACCUGUGAUUUCACAAAAAGGUUUUUGUGAUCACACAAAAUGUGAUUGCUGGGGGAAGUUCCCAGGCCUGACUGCUGUCUAUCCUUAUUCGUGGUUACCAGUGAACCUUGCUCCAAACACUGUCAGCUACUACCACCUGGCCUAAGAGAUGCAGCCUCCUGGGCCUCUCACUUCUGAUCUCCUUAGCUCCAGGGGACACAGGAAGAGUCUAGCCUUGCUGCAAGGUUACUGCCUGCCAGUGCACAUCCACCUUGGUGUCCUCUCAACCAAAUGUAUGCCCAGGGAAAAAUCCCCACUGAUGAGCCCAGAGUAGGUGUUCUCACCCGGUCAACUCUGUGGACCACCUGAAAUUGCAUUCACCUGCAAAGUUUUGUUUGGGAUUAUAUGUGUGGCUAAAUGCAUUUUUUUUUUUUUCAGGAACAGAGAUCAUCGACCUCAUCAGUUUCUCAAGGGGUUGGUAAUCCCCACCCCACAAAAAGUUAAGAGUUAAUACAAUGGCCAAGAGGGUCUGUGUUAUGUAUGUAUAAUAGUCCAGAUUAGGAAUCUUGUAUUUUGUUCUGGUAAUACAAGUAAUAUAUACUAGUGGUUAAAAAUAUUCAAAACAAUAGGAAAUAUAUAAAGUAUACAGGGAAAGAACCUUGUGUUAUCUUUUCCACUCCCAGCCACUGUCAACCGUUUCCAACUUUCUUUUUAGACACAUAUUAGUAAGUGCGUUUGUGCUUAUUAAUCAAGUUCCAAAUUUUUGUGAUAGUCUUAUUAAUUCUAAUUUAAAGUGAUACCUUUGGCUUAUCUUGGUAUUAUAUAUAAUCAUUUGUAAAUGAUGAGUUUUCAUUUCUUCCUUUCCAACAUUUAUGCCCCCUUUUGUUUCUUCUUCUGCAUGAGUUGUUCUUGGUUAAAUUAGACAUAAACAAAAAUAUCCUUAAUCUGAUGAAGAAUAUAUCAGAAGUUCUUCUGAUCUGGCAGAUUUGUCCCUCCCUGUGGUCUGCCAAGAUCACAGAACUUAAUGACUGGCAUUGACUAGAACUUCCUUAACAGCCUCCUGAUCUUGUUCUUGAAGUCAGUGGGAAUGCCUCUUUUGUUUCAUUAUUUAGUAUAACUUUUAUUGUUUGGAUUGAAGUAUUUUCUUUUUUUUUUUCAAGGCUAAUUUCACUUAUGUUUACCAGUCUGUCUCUUUCUCUCUUUUGCACGUGCACACACACAUGUAGUACAAAGAAAUACUAUCAGUGAAUGGAGGCAAGUCGUUAAGUUCUGUAAUCUUGAUAGACCAGAGAGAGGGAUGAAUCUGCCAGAUCAGAAGAGCUCCUGAUAUCUUCUUCAUCAGGUAUUUUCAGGACUGCAGAGAUGAACAUUAGUGAGUCCAAAUAGAAGUGGUGAAGGGAGCAGAGAAGAGGAUGGGCCUGUUUCCCAGAGAAGUAGAAAUGACCAGUAGCUCAGGAGAAGAUGCUGUUUCUUCCGGUGGUGUGACUGUGGCCUAAGAAGGUGGAGGAGGAGAGGGAGGAAACCCAUCCAGAUCCUUGUAGGUUGGUGUGAAGGCAGGGCAGUGUCAGCAGCAGAAAUGGUUGACGUUGGUGACUUCAGGAGGUGGAGGGAAGAAAGUGGUUAUCAUGUAGCAGAGCGAUGGAGGACUGUGAAAUAAGAGACAGACUGACAACCUGCACCCUGAACAGGGAAAGGUCUGGGUCUGGACGCACAUUCAGAUGUUGGUGCAUCCACUGAGCACUAAGUCCAAAUUGUCUCCUCUUUGUUCCUGUCUGGUUUUCGCUUCCGUCUGUCUGUGUCUGCUGCUCUGUCCAUCAGUGGUGGGUUUUCCACGCAAAAGGAGGAGAAGCUUAAAGGUUCAUUUCCUUCCUCCUUCCCCUCCCCCUAAACACUCAGUCCCUACAUCCAAGUUGACUGCGGCUUCAAACUCCUGCUCUCAAUGUGUUCUCACUAGACUAAGGGAGCACCCCUGAGACAUUCACAGUGCUGUAGCAUGGGCGGAGCUUAGAACUCGGACUUGAUAGCAGUGGGACUGGUGAUUCCGGCUCGUGCCUCGUACUACUGACUGACCUGUGGUAGAGAGCAGAAAAAGAAGAGACCAGCUGAUUUGAAAAACAAUAAUCAUGUCUACAAAAGUUUAGAAAAUACAGAAAACUAUAAGAAAUAA